GGGAAUAUAGCUUAGUGGUAGAGUGCUUGCCUACCAUGCAUGAAGUCCUGGGUUUGAUUCCUCAGUACCA
rnacentral:tRNA from 1 species